GACGAACGCUGGCGGCGUGCUUAACACAUGCAAGUCGAACGGAAAGGCCUGCUUUCCCUUGUGGAUUGCGGGUGCUCGAGUGGCGAACGGGUGAGUAACACGUGAGUGAUCUGCCCCCAACUUGGGUAUAAGCCUGGGAAACUGGGUCUAAUUCCCGAUAGGACUGCAGGGUGGUGCCUGUGGUGGAAAACGAUUUUCUAGUGGUUGGGGAUGAGCUCGCGGCCUAUCAGCUUGUUGGUGGGGUAAUGGCCUACCAAGGCGGCGACGGGUAGCCGGCCUGAGAGGGUGGACGGCCACAUUGGGACUGAGAUGCGGCCCAGACUCCUACGGGAGGCAGCAGUGGGGAAUAUUGCACAAUGGGCGGAAGCCUGAUGCAGCGACGCCGCGUGGGGGAUGACGGCCUUCGGGUUGUAAACUCCUUUCGACCGCGAGGAAGCCACCUGGUUGGAAGGGUGGUGACGGUAGUGGUAGAAGAAGCACCGGCUAACUACGU
rnacentral:rRNA from 1 species